rnacentral:rRNA from 1 species
AUUGAACGCUGGCGGCAUGCCUUACACAUGCAAGUCGAACGGCAGCAUGAUCUAGCUUGCUAGAUUGAUGGCGAGUGGCGAACGGGUGAGUAAUACAUCGGAACGUGCCCUGCGGUGGGGGAUAACUAGUCGAAAGAUUAGCUAAUACCGCAUACGACCUGAGGGUGAAAGUGGGGGACCGCAAGGCAGCAUGCUAUAGGAUCGGCCGAUGACUGAUUAGCUAGUUGGUGAGGGAAAGGCUCACCAAGGCGACGAUCAGUAGCUGGUCUGAGAGGACGAUCAGCCACACUGGGACUAAGACACGGCCCAGACUCCUACGGGAGGCAUCAGUGGGGAAUUUUGGACAAUGGGGGCAACCCUGAUCCAGCAAUGCCGCGUGUGUGAAGAAGGCCUUCGGGUUGUAAAGCACUUUUGUCCGGAAAGAAAUCGCACUUGCUAAUAUUAGGUGUGGAUGACGGUACCGGAAGAAUAAGGUCCGGCUAACUACGUGCCAGCCGCCGCCGUAACAC